rnacentral:rRNA from 1 species
AAUCAACGCUGGCGGCGUGCCUAACACAUGCAAGUCGAACGCGAAAGCCCCUUCGGGGGUAAGUAGAGUGGCGUCCGGGUGAGUAACACGUAGGUAAUCUACCUUCGGGUGGGGAAUAACCAGUCGAAAGAUUGGCUAAUACCGCAUAAUGCAGCGGCACCUAAUGGUGAUUAGUUGUUAAAGCGGGGGAUCGUAAGACCUCGCGCCUGAAGAGGAGCCUGCGGCAGAUUAGCUAGUUGGGAGGUAAUGGCUCACCAAGGCUUCGAUCUGUAGCUGGUCUGAGAGGACGGCCAGCCACACUGGCACUGACACACGGGCCAGACUCCUACGGGAGGCAGCAGUGGGGAAUUUUGGGCAAUGGGCGAAUGCCUGACGCAGCGACGCCGCGUGUGGGAUGAAGGUCUUCGGAUCGUAAACCACUGUCAGCGGGGACGAAGGCCGGGCGUUAACUGCGACCCGGAUUGACGGUACCCGCGGAGGAAGCACCGGCUAACUCUGUGCCAGCC